rnacentral:rRNA from 1 species
GGGUUGUGAGGUUAAGCGACUAAGCGUACACGGUGGAUGCCCUGGCAGUCAGAGGCGAUGAAGGACGUGCUAAUCUGCGAUAAGCGUCGGUAAGGUGAUAUGAACCGUUAUAACCGGCGAUUUCCGAAUGGGGAAACCCAGUGUGUUUCGACACACUAUCAUUAACUGAAUCCAUAGGUUAAUGAGGCGAACCGGGGGAACUGAAACAUCUAAGUACCCCGAGGAAAAGAAAUCAACCGAGAUUCCCCCAGUAGCGGCGAGCGAACGGGGAGCAGCCCAGAGCCUGAAUCAGUGUGUGUGUUAGUGGAAGCGUCUGGAAAGGCGCGCGAUACAGGGUGACAGCCCCGUACACAAAAAUGCACAUACUGUGAGCUCGAUGAGUAGGGCGGGACACGUGGUAUCCUGUCUGAAUAUGGGGGGACCAUCCUCCAAGGCUAAAUACUCCUGACUGACCGAUAGUGAACCAGUACCGUGAGGGAAAGGCGAAAAGAACCCCGGCGAGGGGAGUGAAAAAGAACCUGAAACCGUGUACGUACAAGCAGUGGGAGCCUCUUUUAUGGGGUGACUGCGUACCUUUUGUAUAAUGGGUCAGCGACUUAUAUUCUGUAGCAAGGUUAACCGAAUAGGGGAGCCGAAGGGAAACCGAGUCUUAACCGGGCGUUAAGUUGCAGGGUAUAGACCCGAAACCCGGUGAUCUAGCCAUGGGCAGGUUGAAGGUUGGGUAACACUAACUGGAGGACCGAACCGACUAAUGUUGAAAAAUUAGCGGAUGACUUGUGGCUGGGGGUGAAAGGCCAAUCAAACCGGGAGAUAGCUGGUUCUCCCCGAAAGCUAUUUAGGUAGCGCCUCGUGAAUUCAUCUCCGGGGGUAGAGCACUGUUUCGGCAAGGGGGUCAUCCCGACUUACCAACCCGAUGCAAACUGCGAAUACCGGAGAAUGUUAUCACGGGAGACACACGGCGGGUGCUAACGUCCGUCGUGAAGAGGGAAACAACCCAGACCGCCAGCUAAGGUCCCAAAGUCAUGGUUAAGUGGGAAACGAUGUGGGAAGGCCCAGACAGCCAGGAUGUUGGCUUAGAAGCAGCCAUCAUUUAAAGAAAGCGUAAUAGCUCACUGGUCGAGUCGGCCUGCGCGGAAGAUGUAACGGGGCUAAACAAUGCACCGAAGCUGCGGCAGCGACACUGUGUGUUGUUGGGUAGGGGAGCGUUCUGUAAGCCUGUGAAGGUGUACUGUAAGGUAUGCUGGAGGUAUCAGAAGUGCGAAUGCUGACAUAAGUAACGAUAAAGCGGGUGAAAAGCCCGCUCGUCGGAAGACCAAGGGUUCCUGUCCAACGUUAAUCGGGGCAGGGUGAGUCGACCCCUAAGGCGAGGCCGAAAGGCGUAGUCGAUGGGAAACAGGUUAAUAUUCCUGUACUUGGUGUUACUGCGAAGGGGGGACGGAGAAGGCUAUGUUGGCCGGGCGACGGUUGUCCCGGUUUAAGCGUGUAGGCUGGUUUUCCAGGCAAAUCCGGAAAAUCAAGGCUGAGGCGUGAUGACGAGGCACUACGGUGCUGAAGCAACAAAUGCCCUGCUUCCAGGAAAAGCCUCUAAGCAUCAGGUAACAUCAAAUCGUACCCCAAACCGACACAGGUGGUCAGGUAGAGAAUACCAAGGCGUUUGAGAGAACUCGGGUGAAGGAACUAGGCAAAAUGGUGCCGUAACUUCGGGAGAAGGCACGCUGAUAUGUAGGUGAAGUCCCUCGCGGAUGGAGCUGAAAUCAGUCGAAGAUACCAGCUGGCUGCAACUGUUUAUUAAAAACACAGCACUGUGCAAACACGAAAGUGGACGUAUACGGUGUGACGCCUGCCCGGUGCCGGAAGGUUAAUUGAUGGGGUCAGCGCAAGCGAAGCUCUUGAUCGAAGCCCCGGUAAACGGCGGCCGUAACUAUAACGGUCCUAAGGUAGCGAAAUUCCUUGUCGGGUAAGUUCCGACCUGCACGAAUGGCGUAAUGAUGGCCAGGCUGUCUCCACCCGAGACUCAGUGAAAUUGAACUCGCUGUGAAGAUGCAGUGUACCCGCGGCAAGACGGAAAGACCCCGUGAACCUUUACUAUAGCUUGACACUGAACAUUGAGCCUUGAUGUGUAGGAUAGGUGGGAGGCUUUGAAGUGUGGACGCCAGUCUGCAUGGAGCCGACCUUGAAAUACCACCCUUUAAUGUUUGAUGUUCUAACGUGGACCCGUGAUCCGGGUUGCGGACAGUGUCUGGUGGGUAGUUUGACUGGGGCGGUCUCCUCCUAAAGAGUAACGGAGGAGCACGAAGGUUGGCUAAUCCUGGUCGGACAUCAGGAGGUUAGUGCAAUGGCAUAAGCCAGCUUGACUGCGAGCGUGACGGCGCGAGCAGGUGCGAAAGCAGGUCAUAGUGAUCCGGUGGUUCUGAAUGGAAGGGCCAUCGCUCAACGGAUAAAAGGUACUCCGGGGAUAACAGGCUGAUACCGCCCAAGAGUUCAUAUCGACGGCGGUGUUUGGCACCUCGAUGUCGGCUCAUCACAUCCUGGGGCUGAAGUAGGUCCCAAGGGUAUGGCUGUUCGCCAUUUAAAGUGGUACGCGAGCUGGGUUUAGAACGUCGUGAGACAGUUCGGUCCCUAUCUGCCGUGGGCGCUGGAGAACUGAGGGGGGCUGCUCCUAGUACGAGAGGACCGGAGUGGACGCAUCACUGGUGUUCGGGUUGUCAUGCCAAUGGCACUGCCCGGUAGCUAAAUGCGGAAGAGAUAAGUGCUGAAAGCAUCUAAGCACGAAACUUGCCCCGAGAUGAGUUCUCCCUGACCCUUUAAGGGUCCUGAAGGAACGUUGAAGACGACGACGUUGAUAGGCCGGGUGUGUAAGCGCAGCGAUGCGUUGAGCUAACCGGUACUAAUGAACCGUGAGGCUUAACCUUACAACGCCGAAGGUGUUU